rnacentral:tRNA from 1 species
GCACGCGUGGCCGAGUGGUCUAAGGCGCUGUGUUCAGGUCGCAGUAUCUUCGGAUGCGAAGGUUCGAACCCUUCCGCGUGUA